rfam:Triticum aestivum genome assembly, contig: Triticum_aestivum_CS42_TGACv1_scaffold_433366_5DL
AGGAUGAGGGACACUCGGGCUAGCCAAGGAGACUGCCUGUUGUACACAGUGACAGAUCACGUACAUUCAGAGAUGUAACUGCAAUCGAUCAAGCUAUAUAUCCACAGGCAAGUCAUCCUUGGCUAUCAGAAGAAGCCCUCAUCG